rnacentral:rRNA from 1 species
GUGCACCCUACCUAUGGAACGGCUACCCUGUAGCGCCUUACCCUGGAACGGCUUACCCUGUAACGGCUGCCGGUGGACUACCAAACUCUUGUUAUUUUAUUGUAAUCUGAGCGUCUUAUUUUAAUAAGUCAAAACUUUCAACAACGGAUCUCUUGGUUCUGGCAUCGAUGAAGAACGCAGCGAAAUGCGAUAAGUAAUGUGAAUUGCAGAAUUCAGUGAAUCAUCGAAUCUUUGAACGCACAUUGCGCCCAUUAGUAUUCUAGUGGGCAUGCCUGUUCGAGCGUCAUUUCAACCCUUAAGCCUAGCUUAGUGUUGGGAGCCUACUGCUUUUGCUAGCUGUAGCUCCUGAAAUACAACGGCGGAUCUGCGAUAUCCUCUCGAGCGUAGUAAAUUUUAUAUCUCGCUUUUGACUGGAGUUGCAGCGUCUUUGGCCGCUAAAUCCCCCAAUUUUUAAUGGUUGACCUCGGAUCAGGUAGGAAUACCCGCUGAACUUAAGCAUAUCAAUAAGCGGAAGGAAC